AGUGAACGCUGGCGGCAGGCCUAACACAUGCAAGUCGAACGGCAGCACAGCAGUGGCAAUACUGUGGGUGGCGAGUGGCGGACGGGUGAGGAAUACAUCGGAAUCUGCCUAGUCGUGGGGGAUAACGUAGGGAAACUUACGCUAAUACCGCAUACGACCUACGGGUGAAAGCGGGGGAUCGCAAGACCUCGCGCGAUUAGAUGAGCCGAUGUCCGAUUAGCUAGUUGGCGGGGUAAUGGCCCACCAAGGCGACGAUCGGUAGCUGGUCUGAGAGGAUGAUCAGCCACACUGGAACUGAGACACGGUCCAGACUCCUACGGGAGGCAGCAGUGGGGAAUAUUGGACAAUGGGCGCAAGCCUGAUCCAGCCAUGCCGCGUGGGUGAAGAAGGCCUCGGUGUAAG
rnacentral:rRNA from 1 species